UUGGCUUGCUGAAUCUCUUGCCCUCUCUUACAAACAAUCUCCUUCCCCCUCUUUCUCUCUGGAUUAUUAACUGCAUCAUGAUGAAACUGGAAUGACAACUGCCUCCUCUAGGGCACACUUAAUCACUCUCAGCUGAAACACAAACACCACAGAAAUUCCACAAACAACCACAUGACAAAUUCCCCCUUCAGCACCACACUUACAGAUUCAAUGUUUCCUGUUUUUGUUUUAAAAAUGACCCUGACUGUGAGGAAUGUUAAGAUUAACAUCCUUAUUCUGACAAGAAAACAACCCAUUUGUUUCUGAGUACUAGGAAAGCCAUAUACAACAAUGUCUUGAGUUGAAACACAUCCUUAAGAUCUCCCUGAAAAGGAAGGCUGUGAACAAACCUGAGCGAAACCAAGGUCAGUGGACAUUUUGAUAAACUUUAUUGCAAACAUAUAUGCAAUGUAAGCACAUUAUGCAUGUCCUUUCCUUGCUCCACGAAUAGCAGUGGAAGUGAGGGCAACAGUGCUUCUCCACAGUUCUGUUUCUCCUCAACUUUAACACAUUUUAUCAUCAGUCCAGCUACCAGUCCGACCAACAUUUGUGACCACUCAAGCGAAUGCACCAUCAUGGUUAACAUCAUCCAUUCAAAAAAAAAAAAAUUCACUAACCAGACUGAC